UACGGGGGGGGCAAGCGUUGUUCGGAAUUACUGGGCGUAAAGGGCUCGUAGGCGGCCAACUAAGUCGGAUGUGAAAUCCCCAGGCUCAACCUGGGAACUGCAUCCGAAACUGCCUUGCUCGAGUAUGGGAGAGGGAAGUGGAAUUUCCGGUGUAGCGGUGAAAUGCGUAGAUAUCGGAAGGAACAUCAGUGGCGAAGGCGACUUCCUGGACCAAUACUGACGCUCAGGUGCGAAAGCGUGGGGAGCAAACAGG
rnacentral:rRNA from 1 species